UAUAUCUACAGCACAGAAAUAACAAAGGAUAUAGCUAUCUUUCUGCCAAAAAAUAGUGAUUUAUAUCAGAUAAUUGAGCUUGCAGGAUUUGGAAACGGUGUUGAUAUUGAAUACUGCUUAAUGGGACCCAAG